AUUGAACGCUGGCGGCAUGCCUAAUACAUGCAAGUCGAACGGUAACAGGACGCUGUGAUCCCUUCGGGGUGAACGUUGUCGCUGACGAGUGGCGGACGGGUGAGUAAUGCUUGGGAAUCUGCCCAGUAGUGGGGGACAACACGGGGGAACUCGUGCUAAUACCGCAUACGUCCUACGGGAGAAAGUGGGGGAUCUUCGGACCUCACGCUAUUGGAUGAGCCCAAGUCGGAUUAGCUUGUUGGUAGGGUAACGGCCUACCAAGGCGACGAUCCGUAGCUGGUCUGAGAGGACGAUCAGCCACACUGGGACUGAGACACGGCCCAGACUCCUACGGGAGGCAGCAGUAGGGAAUAUUGGACAAUGGGGGCAACCCUGAUCCAGCAAUGCCGCGUGUGUGAAGAAGGCCUGCGGGUUGUAAAGCACUUUCAGUAGAGAAGAAAAGCCUAGGGUUAAUACCCCUGAGUCUUGACGUAACCUACAGAAGAAGCACCGGCUAACUCCGUG
rnacentral:rRNA from 1 species